ACCCGGAGAACUGAAACAUCUUAGUACCCGGAGGAAGAGAAAGAAAAUUCGAUUCCCUUAGUAGCGGCGAGCGAAACGGGAAGAGCCCAAACCAAAAAGCUUGCUUGUUGGGGUUGUAGGACACUCUAUACGGAGUUACAAAGGACGACAUUAGACGAAUCAUCUGGAAAGAUGAAUCAAAGAAGGUAAUAAUCCUGUAGUCGAAAAUGUUGUCUCUCUUGAGUGGAUCCUGAGUACGACGGAGCACGUGAAAUUCCGUCGGAAUCUGGGAGGACCAUCUCCUAAGGCUAAAUACUCUCUAGUGACCGAUAGUGAACCAGUACCGUGAGGGAAAGGUGAAAAGCACCCCGGAAGGAGAGUGAAAUAGAACCUGAAACCGUGUGCUUACAAGUAGUCAGAGCCCGUUAAUGGGUGAUGGCGUGCCUUUUGUAGAAUGAACCGGCGAGUUACGAUUUGAUGCAAGGUUAAGCAGUAAAUGUGGAGCCGUAGCGAAAGCGAGUCUGAAUAGGGCGUUUAGUAUUUGGUCGUAGACCCGAAACCAGGUGAUCUACCCUUGGUCAGGUUGAAGUUCAGGUAACACUGAAUGGAGGACCGAACCGACUUACGUUGAAAAGUGAGCGGAUGAACUGAGGGUAGCGGAGAAAUUCCAAUCGAACCUGGAGAUAGCUGGUUCUCUCCGAAAUAGCUUUAGGGCUAGCCUCAAGUGAUGAUUAUUGGAGGUAGAGCACUGUUUGGACGAGGGGCCCCUCUCGGGUUACCGAAUUCAGACAAACUCCGAAUGCCAAUUAAUUUAACUUGGGAGUCAGAACAUGGGUGAUAAGGUCCGUGUUCGAAAGGGAAACAGCCCAGACCACCAGCUAAGGUCCCAAAAUAUAUGUUAAGUGGAAAAGGAUGUGGCGUUGCCCAGACAACUAGGAUGUUGGCUUAGAAGCAGCCAUCAUUUAAAGAGUGCGUAAUAGCUCACUAGUCGAGUGACACUGCGCCGAAAAUGUACCGGGGCUAAACAUAUUACCGAAGCUGUGGAUUGUCCUUUGGACAAUGGUAGGAGAGCGUUCUAAGGGCGUUGAAGCAUGAUCGUAAGGACAUGUGGAGCGCUUAGAAGUGAGAAUGCCGGUGUGAGUAGCGAAAGACGGGUGAGAAUCCCGUCCACCGAUUGACUAAGGUUUCCAGAGGAAGGCUCGUCCGCUCUGGGUUAGUCGGGUCCUAAGCUGAGGCCGACAGGCGUAGGCGAUGGAUAACAGGUUGAUAUUCCUGUACCACCUAUAAUCGUUUUAAUCGAUGGGGGGACGCAGUAGGAUAGGCGAAGCGUGCGAUUGGAUUGCACGUCUAAGCAGUAAGGCUGAGUAUUAGGCAAAUCCGGUACUCGUUAAGGCUGAGCUGUGAUGGGGAGAAGACAUUGAGUCUUCGAGUCGUUGAUUUCACACUGCCGAGAAAAGCCUCUAGAUAGAAAAUAGGUGCCCGUACCGCAAACCGACACAGGUAGUCAAGAUGAGAAUUCUAAGGUGAGCGAGCGAACUCUCGUUAAGGAACUCGGCAAAAUGACCCCGUAACUUCGGGAGAAGGGGUGCUCUUUAGGGUUAACGCCCAGAAGAGCCGCAGUGAAUAGGCCCAAGCGACUGUUUAUCAAAAACACAGGUCUCUGCUAAACCGUAAGGUGAUGUAUAGGGGCUGACGCCUGCCCGGUGCUGGAAGGUUAAGAGGAGUGGUUAGCUUCUGCGAAGCUACGAAUCGAAGCCCCAGUAAACGGCGGCCGUAACUAUAACGGUCCUAAGGUAGCGAAAUUCCUUGUCGGGUAAGUUCCGACCCGCACGAAAGGCGUAACGAUUUGGGCACUGUCUCAACGAGAGACUCGGUGAAAUCAUAGUACCUGUGAAGAUGCAGGUUACCCGCGACAGGACGGAAAGACCCCGUGGAGCUUUACUGUAGCCUGAUAUUGAAAUUCGGCACAGCUUGUACAGGAUAGGUAGGAGCCUUUGAAACGUGAGCGCUAGCUUACGUGGAGGCGCUGGUGGGAUACUACCCUAGCUGUGUUGGCUUUCUAACCCGCACCACUUAUCGUGGUGGGAGACAGUGUCAAGCGGGCAGUUUGACUGGGGCGGUCGCCUCCUAAAAGGUAACGGAGGCGCUCAAAGGUUCCCUCAGAAUGGUUGGAAAUCAUUCAUAGAGUGUAAAGGCAUAAGGGAGCUUGACUGCGAGACCUACAAGUCGAGCAGGGUCGAAAGACGGACUUAGUGAUCCGGUGGUUCCGCAUGGAAGGGCCAUCGCUCAACGGAUAAAAGCUACCCCGGGGAUAACAGGCUUAUCUCCCCCAAGAGUUCACAUCGACGGGGAGGUUUGGCACCUCGAUGUCGGCUCAUCGCAUCCUGGGGCUGUAGUCGGUCCCAAGGGUUGGGCUGUUCGCCCAUUAAAGCGGUACGCGAGCUGGGUUCAGAACGUCGUGAGACAGUUCGGUCCCUAUCCGUCGUGGGCGUAGGAAAUUUGAGAGGAGCUGUCCUUAGUACGAGAGGACCGGGAUGGACAUACCUCUGGUGUACCAGUUGUCGUGCCAACGGCAUAGCUGGGUAGCUAUGUGUGGACGGGAUAAGUGCUGAAAGCAUCUAAGCAUGAAGCCCCCCUCAAGAUGAGAUUUCCCAACUUCGGUUAUAAGAUCCCUCAAAGAUGAUGAGGUUAAUAGGUUCGAGGUGGAAGCAUGGUGACAUGUGGAGCUGACGAAUACUAAUCGAUCGAAGACUUAAUCAA
rnacentral:rRNA from 2 species